CAGUAGCCGCGGUAAUACGAAGGGGGCUAGCGUUGCUCGGAAUGACUGGGCGUAAAGGGCGCGUAGGCGGUUGUCACAGUCGGGUGUGAAAUUCCUGGGCUUAACCUGGGGACUGCAUUCGAGACGUGGUGGCUUGAGUGGGGAAGAGGGUCGUGGAAUUCCCAGUGUAGAGGUGAAAUUCGUAGAUAUUGGGAAGAACACCGGUGGCGAAGGCGGCGACCUGGUCCUUUACUGACGCUGAGGCGCGAAAGCGUGGGGAGCAAACAGGAUUAGAUACCCGCGUAGUCCCUGUCUCUUAUAC
rnacentral:rRNA from 1 species